rnacentral:rRNA from 2 species
UCAAGUGAAUAAGUGCAUGUGGUGAAUGCCUUGGCGAUUACAGGCGAUGAAGGACGUUGUAGCCUGCGAAAAGCCGCGGGGAGCUGGCAAACAAGCUUUGAUCCGCGGAUGUCCGAAUGGGGAAACCCACCCGCAAGGGUAUCGCUGACUGAAUCCAUAGGUCAGCGAGGCGAACGUGGCGAACUGAAACAUCUAAGUAGCCACAGGAAAAGAAAUCAACCGAGAUUCCGAAAGUAGUGGCGAGCGAAAUCGGAGCAGCCUGUGCGUGAUAGUCGAUUGGCUAGUGGAACGGUAUGGAAAGGCCGGCCAUAGAGGGUGAUAGCCCCUUACACGAAAGCGAAUCGGUGGUACUGAGCGUACGACAAGUAGGGCGGGACACGUGUAAUCCUGUCUGAAGAUGGGGGGACCAUCCUCCAAGGCUAAAUACUCGUAAUCGACCGAUAGUGAACAAGUACUGUGAAGGAAAGGCGAAAAGAACCCCGGGAGGGGAGUGAAAUAGAUCCUGAAACCGCAUGCAUACAAACAGUCGGAGCCUCGCAAGGGGUGACGGCGUACCUUUUGUAUAAUGGGUCAGCGACUUACGUUCAGUGGCAAGCUUAACCAGAUAGGGGAGGCGCAGGGAAACCGAGUCCGAAUAGGGCGCCAUAGUCGCUGGGCGUAGACCCGAAACCAGGUGAUCUAUCCAUGGUCAGGAUGAAGGUUGGGUAACACCAGCUGGAGGUCCGAACCGACUAAUGUUGCAAAAUUAGCGGAUGAACUGUGGAUAGGGGUGAAAGGCUAAUCAAACCUGGAAAUAGCUGGUUCUCCCCGAAAACUAUUUAGGUAGUGCGUCAUGUAUUGCUCCAGGGGGUAGAGCACUGUAAUGGUUGUGGGGGCCAUCGCGGCUUACCACGCCAUAGCAAACUCCGAAUACCUGGAAGUAUGAGCAUGGCAGACAGUCGCCGGGUGCUAACGUCCGGCGGCAAGAGGGAAACAACCCAGACCUACAGCUAAGGUCCCAAAGUGUGGCUAAGUGGGAAACGAAGUGGGAAGGCUAAAACAGUCAGGAUGUUGGCUUAGAAGCAGCCAUCAUUUAAAGAAAGCGUAAUAGCUCACUGAUCGAGUCGUCCUGCGCGGAAGAUGUAACGGGGCUAAGCCAUGCACCGAAGCUUAGGCUGCACUCUCUGAGUGCGGGGUAGGGGAGCGUUCUGUAAGCCUGUGAAGGUGUCUCGUAAGGGAUGCUGGAGGUAUCAGAAGUGCGAAUGCUGACAUGAGUAGCGUUAAAGCGGGUGAAAAGCCCGCUCGCCGUAAGCGCAAGGUUUCCUACGCAACGUUCAUCGGCGUAGGGUGAGUCGGCCCCUAAGGUGAGGGCGAAAGCCAUAGCUGAUGGGAAGCUGGUUAAUAUUCCAGCACCGAUUUCUAGUGCGAUGGGGGGACGGAUCGUGGAAGGUUGUCCGGGUGUUGGAAGUCCCGGUUCCUGACCUGUAGGUGUCUGGUAGGUAAAUCCGCCAGGCGUAUGCCGAGGGGUUGGGACGAGCGAGCUUGCUCGCGAAGCAACUGGAAGUGGUUCCAAGAAAAGCCUCUAAGCUUCAGCUAGAAACGACCGUACCGCAAACCAACACUGGUGCGCGAGAUGAGUAUUCUCAGGCGCUUGAGAGAACUCGGGAGAAGGAACUCGGCAAAUUGACACCGUAACUUCGGAAGAAGGUGUGCCUUGGUAGCUUGAGUGUGAACAACACAAGGGCAAAGAGGUUGCAAAGAAUAGGUGGCUGCGACUGUUUAUUAAAAACACAGCACUCUGCAAACACGAAAGUGGACGUAUAGGGUGUGACGCCUGCCCGGUGCCGGAAGGUUAAGUGAUGGGGUGCAAGCUCUUGAUCGAAGCCCCGGUAAACGGCGGCCGUAACUAUAACGGUCCUAAGGUAGCGAAAUUCCUUGUCGGGU